CCGAGAAAAAUUACGCCGAUUUUUGUUUCGCCGACAACGAUUCGCCGACGGGUUGUUUGGCAGAGUAACGAUUGGCCGAAUCUCAUUACGCAUAAUAGUCGUUUGCGAGUGUAGUCAAUAAGCAGAACAUGGAUACGCAUAUUUACUAUUCGUAGAAUAAUCAUUUAGUAACUGUCAUAAUUACCCGAGAAACCAUUGGUCGAAUGUUCAUUUGGCAUUAAUAUUGACUA